AAAAAGAUGUUUUACAGUGUACUGGUUGCAGAAGGAAUGGCUGACUUUUAUCUCUCUUGAUGAGCUUUACUUUUGGGUGGGUUCCCAAAUACAUUGCUGAGGAGCCAAAUGGUAGAAAUGUAGAGCCUAUCCAAGAGCACUUGUUUGACAGAUUGGCAGAUUUUGUGGCACAUUUUCUUCUUGUUCCCAGGGAUGCUAAAGAUGCUUUUUCUCAGGUUAAAUGCUUAGGAAAAGAUGGAGAGCUGUCUCUUGUGUCUGUUAACAUUAAGGAGAGGAGGUUUGGAACAUGCUGUACUCAGAAAUCCUGAAUUAAUGAGUGUGUACCAGACUCAAACUUGUUUGUCUUACUUAUCAAAUAGAACAUUGAAAGUGGCUUGCUGAAAGUUAUAUAAGAAAUCUGUAAACAGAGCAAGGUCUCAAAGGCUGGUAGAUGAACCUGGAAAACUCAGCAGUCACUCACUAGCU
rnacentral:lncRNA from 1 species